ensembl:rRNA 5_8S_rRNA 5.8S ribosomal RNA
GACUUUUAGCAGUGGAUCACUCGGCACCCGUGUCGAUGAAGAAUGCAGCUAGCUGUGAGAAUUAAUGUGAAUUGCAGGACACAUUGAUCGACACUUCAAACGCACUAGCGGCCUGGGUUCCUCCCAGAGCUAUGCCUGUCUGAGCAUCG